rnacentral:tRNA from 1 species
GCUAGUGUAGCUUAAAUCAAAGCAUAACACUGAAGAUGUUAAGAUGAACCCUAAAAACGUUCCACAAGCA